rnacentral:rRNA from 1 species
GACGAACGCUGGCGGCGUGCUUAACACAUGCAAGUCGAACGGAAAGGCCCUGCUCUUGUGGGGUUCUCGAGUGGCGAACGGGUGAGUAACACGUGAGUAACCUGCACUUGACUUUGGGAUAACUUCAGGAAAAUGGGGAUAAAACAGGAUAGGAGCUACUGCAGCAUGGGGGGGGUUGGAAAGUGUCGGCGGUUGGGGAUGGACUAGAGGCUUAUCAGCUGGAUGGUGGGGUAGUGGAUUACCAAGGCUUUGACGGGUAGCCGGCCUGAGAGGGUGAACGGCCACCUUGGUCCUGCGGUACGGCCCAGUCUCCUACGGGAGGCAGCAGUGGGGAAUAUUGCGCAACGGGCCGAAGUCUGAUGCAGCAACGCCGCGUUCGUGAUGACGUCCUUCGAGUUGUAAACCGCUUUCGCCUGUGAUGAAGCGUUAGUGACGGUAAUGGGUAAAGAAGCACCGGCUAACUACGUG